UACGUAGGGUGCAAGCGUUAAUCGGAAUUACUGGGCGUAAAGCGUGCGCAGGCGGCUUUGCAAGACAGAUGUGAAAUCCCCGGGCUCAACCUGGGAACUGCAUUUGUGACUGCAUGGCUAGAGUGCGGCAGAAGGGGAUGGAAUUCCGCGUGUAGCAGUGAAAUGGGUAGAUAUGCGGAGGAACACCGAUGGCGAAGGCAAUCCCCUGGGCCUGCACUGACGCUCAUGCACGAAAGCGUGGGGAGCAAACAGG
rnacentral:rRNA from 1 species